UUUUAACCUUUGACAUGCAGAACUCGGAGAAAUUUCUGAUAAAUUAUGUUUAUUUUGCGUUUAUAAAGUCCAGUCAUCCUUGUUACAUAGACUGAGUGAAUCAUUUAUAUUGUCGUCGUUCAGAAAAAAAAAUCAGGUAAGUGGCGAUAAAGUACAAAACAAAAUGGGUAGAUCACUGUCUUAUCAUGUGAUGUUGCACCAAUGCUUGACUGUACCAAAAUUCUAGUUUCUGUCGGUCGGGUUUUUAAACAACUUACGAUUAAGUCAUUAUCCUUAAAAUUUCUACCAUGAAAUGAUUCUUUUUCUGUAAAAAAAAAAGACAAAAAUUAUUUAUCGUACUGUAGCAUUUUGUUAACAAUCUCUGAAAAAGUUGGGUUGCAGAAAAUUAAAAUGUUAGAAUUUUUUCUUUCAUUUUUUUUAUGUCCACUUUAAGUUUACACCCUGGUUCCAACUGUUCUACUAUUGUUCGAUCUAUUCUAAUUAAAUAUUGUUUAACUUUACUUCUCUGUAGGGCUAGCCGAGGAGUAAUUUCAGCGAGAUUCAUCAAGACUGAAAAAUAUUGACUGACUGUCUCUUCCAAUGUCUGACGUCUCUUCUCUUUCGGAAGAGAAAUUAGUCAAAAUUUUUCAGUAUCGAUGAAUCUCGCAGAGAUUAGCCUAGGAGAGGACAGUGAUUGAAAGAAAUCCUGCACUAAACGAUUAAUUACUUU
rnacentral:sRNA from 1 species